rnacentral:tRNA from 2 species
GCCCCGGUAGCUCAGUUGGACAGAGCGGCGGUUUCCUAAACCGCAGGUCGGAGGUUCGAUCCCUCUCCGGGGUACCA